rnacentral:rRNA from 1 species
AGGGGAAUAUUGGGCAAUGGGGGAAACCCUGACCCAGCAACGCCGCGUGAAGGAAGAAGGCCUCCGGGUUGUAACCUUCUUGUACCAGGGACGAAGGACGUGACGGUACCUGGAGACAAAGCAACGGCUAACUCCGUGCCAGCAGCCGCGGUAAUACGUAGGUUGCGAGCGUUGUCCGGAUUUACUGGGUGUAAAGGGCGUGUAGGCGGAGAAGCAAGUUGGGAGUGAAAUCUAUGGGCUCAACCCAUAAACUGCUCUCAAAACUGUUUCCCUUGAGUAUCGGAGAGGCAAGCGGAAUUCCUAGUGUAGCGGUGAAAUGCGUAGAUAUUAGGAGGAACACCAGUGGCGAAGGCGGCUUGCUGGACGACAACUGACGCUGAGGCGCGAAAGCGUGGGGAGCAAACAGG